CACCUGGUCUUGGAGCCUGUCUAGAUCUCUAGGACCCCGGCCUCUUCGUUUUCUUCUCAUCUGACACAAGCUGGUCUCCACUUCUCCCUGUGAUGUGCCCAGACUCUGGCUGAGGGUCCUGAGCUCUGCCUGCCUGACUCCCCAUGUCCACCCCACCCACCAGAUGCCGCUGGAGAAGACCUUUUGCACUUACCCUGGUGUGGAGAAGGGCCAGCUGCCAGCUCCCCGAGCCCGCUGCUGAACCCGCUGAUGCUCAGGCCACCCGCCUGCGUCUUGAUCGCUGACUUGAGCUCAUGAUUCUCCCGAAUGAGCCGCACCAGCUUCUUCAGUUCCUCAUUUUCCCGCACCAGCCUCUCGAUCUGAUGCCGAAGCCCCUCAUAAUUGAGUGAUCUACGCAGAGAGAUGUGCAGGCUUGAACUUAGGAGCUGAGUAAGGCCACGUCCUCCUGACCUCCACUGGCUCCUGGGCAUCUGCUCUUGACCAGGAGAGGAUGGUGAAGUCCUG